AUUGAACGCUGGCGGCAUGCCUUACACAUGCAAGUCGAACGGUAACAGGGAGCUUGCUCCGCUGACGAGUGGCGAACGGGUGAGUAAAGUAUCGGAACGUACCUUUCAGUGGGGGAUAACGUAGCGAAAGUUACGCUAAUACCGCAUAUUCUGUGAGCAGGAAAGCAGGGGAUCGCAAGACCUUGCGCUGAUUGAGCGGCCGAUAUCAGAUUAGCUAGUUGGUGAGGUAAAGGCUCACCAAGGCGACGAUCUGUAGCGGGUCUGAGAGGAUGAUCCGCCACACUGGAACUGAGACACGGUCCAGACUCCUACGGGAGGCAGCAGUGGGGGAAUUUUGGACAAUGGGGGGCAACCCUGAUCCAGCCAUGCCGCGUGAGUGAAGAAGGCCU
rnacentral:rRNA from 1 species